UGCAGAAUCCCGUGAACCAUCGAGUCUUUGAACGCAAGUUGCGCCCGAAGCCAUUAGGCCGAGGGCACGUCUGCCUGGGCGUCACACGUCGUUGCCCCCCCCCAACCCCCUCGGGAGUUGGAUGGGACGGAUGAUGGCCUCCCGUGUGCUCAGUCACGCGGUUGGCAUAAAUACCAAGUCCUCGGCGACCAACGCCACGACAAUCGGUGGUUGUCAAACCUCGGUUUCCUGUCGUGCGCGCGUGUUGAUCGAGUGCUUUCUUAAACAAUGCGUGUCGAUCCGUCGAUGCUUACAACGCGACCCCAGGUCAGGCGGGGUUACCCGCUGAAUUUAA
rnacentral:rRNA from 1 species